CUAGUUUCUAUUCACGUAGGCCCCUCCCUGUUUGCUUUCUAGUCUAGUGAUGAAAAACCAUGGAGCGCCCUUCUGUGAUGCUCAGCACGGCUGCAAAAAAGACUACCUGGAACGAAACCAUUUUCGUCAGCAUGGAGUUAGUUACAGAAACUGAGUACAUGUGCAAUCGCUAAGACCCUCAUACCACAUCUGCAAACUAAAAUCUAUGUGACAGCUUCAAAAAUGAUACUCCUGUGUAAGGGUCUGCAGCGAAUCACAGACAGCCGCCAGAGAGAAGCAAAUGUAACCACAGGACAUGUGACAGAGUUGAUGGACACCCUAUGGAGGAGCCCCUCCUCCAAAGAUCUGCAGAUCCUCUGAGCUGGUGGAAGAACAAGACCUCUGUCUACCCACGGCUUACUAAAGUCAUGACAGGGAGACUCUGCAUAUUGGCCACCGGUUCCCUCUGAGAGGGUCUUCUCAAAAACGGGACAAAUAAUUACUGAGAAAAGAAACCACAUCAGCCCCUGGAAAAUGAGGCAGCUUGCAUUUCUGAAUGCAAAUCUCUCAUAAAAGCAAAAUAUGGUCAGGAUUGCUGUGUGCUGCUGGUUAUAACAUGGCAAUAAAGAAGAGAGAGAAAAGAGGGACCAGUUUAAUGUUUUAAGUGGGAUGCUGCAGUUUUGCACAUUGUUAUUUAUUUUUCUUUGAUAUGAUGUAAUAUUCUAUUAUUAUGUUGUUCAAAUUGUAUUCGUUUUGAAUUGUUACAUUUAUAUGCACUUUGUUUAUAUACAUUAAAAAAGUUAUACUUUAAA